rnacentral:rRNA from 2 species
AGAGUUUGAUCCUGGCUCAGGAGGGGGCUGCUAUACAUGCAGUCGAACGAACUCUGGUAUUGAUUGGUGCUUGCAUCAUGAUUUACAUUUGAGUGAGUGGCGAACUGGUGAGUAACACGUGGGAAACCUGCCCAGAAGCGGGGGAUAACACCUGGAAACAGAUGCUAAUACCGCAUAACAACUUGGACCGCAUGGUCCGAGUUUGAAAGAUGGCUUCGGCUAUCACUUUUGGAUGGUCCCGCGGCGUAUUAGCUAGAUGGUGGGGUAACGGCUCACCAUGGCAAUGAUACGUAGCCGACCUGAGAGGGUAAUCGGCCACAUUGGGACUGAGACACGGCCCAAACUCCUACGGGAGGCAGCAGUAGGGAAUCUUCCACAAUGGACGAAAGUCUGAUGGAGCAACGCCGCGUGAGUGAAGAAGGGUUUCGGCUCGUAAAACUCUGUUGUUAAAGAAGAACAUAUCUGAGAGUAACUGUUCAGGUAUUGACGGUAUUUAACCAGAAAGCCACGGCUAACUACGUGCCAGCAGCCGCGGUAAUACGUAGGUGGCAAGCGUUGUCCGGAUUUAUUGGGCGUAAAGCGAGCGCAGGCGGUUUUUUAAGUCUGAUGUGAAAGCCUUCGGCUCAACCGAAGAAGUGCAUCGGAAACUGGGAAACUUGAGUGCAGAAUAGGACAGUGGAACUCCAUGUGUAGCGGUGAAAUGCGUAUAUAUAUGGAAGAACACCAGUGGCGAAGGCGGCUGUCUGGUCUGUAACUGACGCUGACGCUCGAAAGUAUGGGUAGCAAACAGGAUUAGAUACCCUGGUAGUCCAUACCGUACACGAUGAAUGCUAAGUGUUGGAGGGUUUCCGCCCUUCACUGCUGCAGCUAACGCAUUAAGCUUUCCGCCUGGGGAGUACGGCCUGCAAGGCUGACAACUCACAUGUAAUUGACGGGGGCCCGCACAAGCGGUGGCAGCAUGUGCUUUCAAUUCGAAGCUACGCGAAGAAGCUUUACCUAGGU